UUCCCUCAGGAUAGCUGGAGCUCGGACGC
rnacentral:snRNA from 1 species